rnacentral:misc_RNA from 1 species
GUACAGUUAAGUUCAGCAGAAAUCUAAAGAGGAUCAAAACUUUUUAGGAAUUGUUAAAAGAAUUUAUGCUUUCCUUGAAUUUAUUUAUAUAAGUCAGUCAGCUUUUCCAUAGCUAGUCCAAGUCUACAUUUCAAUGAAGAUUAUAUGGGUUUCAUAAUUCAGAAAUCUGAAUAUUGAAAACCCAUAUAAAUUUUGAAAACCAUGUGCACUCAACUUGUUAU